GGGGAAUUUUCCGCAAUGGGCGAAAGCCUGACGGAGCAAGACCGCGUGGGGGAUGAAGGUUUGUGGAUUGUAAACCCCUUUUGAUUGGGAAGAAUACUGACGGUACCAAUCGAAUAGGCCUCGGCUAACUCCGUGCCAGCAGCCGCGGUAAUACGGAGGAGGCAAGCGUUAUCCGGAAUUAUUGGGCGUAAAGCGUCCGUAGGUGGUUUAGUAAGUCUGCUGUUAAAGCGCGGGGCUUAACUCCGUAUCGGCAGUGGAAACUACUAGACUAGAGUGUGGUAGGGGUAGAGGGAAUUCCCAGUGUAGCGGUGAAAUGCGUAGAUAUUGGGAAGAACACCGGUGGCGAAAGCGCUCUACUGGGCCAUAACUGACACUGAUGGACGAAAGCUAGGGGAGCGAAAGGGAUUAGAUACCCCU
rnacentral:rRNA from 1 species